rnacentral:rRNA from 1 species
CCCGUACUUGGUGUUACUGCGAAGGGGGGACGGAGAAGGCUAUGUUGGCCGGGCGACGGUUGUCCCGGUUUAAGCGUGUAGGUGUGUGUUCCAGGUAAAUCCGGUUCACUUUAACACUGAGGCGUGAUGACGAGGCACUACGGUGCUGAAGCAACAAAUGCCCUGCUUCCAGGAAAAGCCUCUAAGCAUCAGGUAACAUCAAAUCGUACCCCAAACCGACACAGGUGGUCAGGUAGAGAAUACCAAGGCGCUUGAGAGAACUCGGGUGAAGGAACUAGGCAAAAUGGUGCCGUAACUUCGGGAGAAGGCACGCUGACACGUAGGUGA